rnacentral:lncRNA from 1 species
GCUGACUGACAGGAACUGAGGAGCUGGACCACUAACAAGUUCUCUUGGGUAAUGCUGGAGGAAUAAUAUUUUUACUGCAGUGAUUGAUGUUGGAUUCUCCAGUGUGAAUAGACCCGAUGAACACAGCAUUUGCAAAGGCGAAUGGACCACAGCAUACACAGUGAUCUUUAGAUAAUGCAAAUUCUGCACAAGACGGAGACAGUUUGCAUACUUCAUGGAGAGGCUAAGUCCAUCAGAACUAGGGUUUGGAUUUUCUUUUUCUUUUCAUUUUU